AUUGUUAUAAUAAACUAAAUACACAACAUCAUAAAAACAUUCCCACUACCUUCCUAACAUACCAUCCGGAACUCUCCCCGCUUCCCGGAAUUCAAGUUUCCGGACUACACCACUUUCAAACACAAAACGACUUAUCUCCAUACUAAUAUCAUUGCACUUAAGUCAUUUUAAAUAAGCAAUUUUGUAAACCGUUCGAAACCGCAAGCGUUGGAAAGUCAACCUUAUAUCAUAAUGCUAAGGUCGCAUUUUAAUUGCUAUAACAUGCUCUGAUUUCGCCCUCCGCCCGAGUCGGAUUCCAUUCUGUGCUAUCAUACUACAAGUACGAAACGACGUAUGAACAUACAAAAAAAGCGCACUUAGGACGUUCUAGAAUGAGUUCAUUCGCAGCGGCGCGAUGAGGUGCGCGUUUGAAUUUAAACUUUAUUGCAUUACAAUAAGGUCGUAUUAGAUUGUAAGGAAUCUUCCGUCUCGGUCCGAUAUUACGCAUGCCAGUUAGCAGCAGCUGUCAUUGAGCCAAGACGUGUCAUUGUUUGUUUAAAACGCCAUUUUGUUGUAAAUUAUUGCAAUUUGAAGGGAAAAAUAUUGAGAAUAGGCAAUGGAAAUAAAAGUAGAGAAGUCCCGGGUAGAUUCAGAAUACUUAAUAUUAACUAUAAAAAAACACGAAAGUAUAUGGAAUAAGAACAGUGCAGAAUAUCAUAUGAAAGGGACGAAAGAGGACGCUUGGAAUCAGAUAUGUGACGAGUUGAUACCAGGAUGGCAGGAUUUGACAGAGCCGGCGAAACUUACUAAACAAUGGGAGCUAAAAAAGCGCUGGAACAACAUACGGGACUACUACAAGAAGGACUUGGCGCUCCAGCUCAGUGGCGGUAUCGGACCGACGAAGAGGAAGAGAUACGUCUUCUCUGAGACGCUGGACUUCCUUAGGCCGCUCAUGGACCGAUCACAGUAUGUAUUUUACUCACUUCAAAUGGG